AAGAAAAAUGAGCAAGCCAGGAGAUUGGAAUUGCAAGUCAUGCCAGCACUUGAACUUCUACUGGAGGCAGUCAUGCCAAAGAUGCCAGGAGACACGACCUGAGGGCAUUGGCGGCAGUUUGGGUGGCCAAGUUUGGACCUUCUCUGCUUCUGAUCCUUGGGUCCCUAACUUCAGACCUGGAGACUGGUUCUGCGGUAUAGCGACCUGUCAGGCUCACAAUUUCUCUAACCGGCGGUUCUGUUUCAAAUGUGGUGCGAUAAAAAAUGUACCAUCUUUUGGUGGAAAUUUUAGAUCCUUGGUUCCCCCUAGGGGUCUUGGUUUCUAUGGUAGAAGGGGUGGCAAAAUCAGCCAGCGAGGGUGGAAGCCUGGAGACUGGUUCUGCAGCAGGCGUGAAUGCAAUGCACACAACUAUGGCAGCCGCGUGAAGUGUUUCAAGUGCAAUUCAUCACGAGAGUUGGUUGGCAACGAGUCUAACUAAUCUCGUUGCAUCUCGGGUUUAUGGUCUUUCUAUCAGUUAAGGAGCGAGAAGGUUGUGUCUUAGACCAUUUUGCCCCUAUCCUAUGCCAGUUUCUUUGGUUUGGUUUAAUGGUAAUGGACUUUGUAUCUACUAAGAUAAAUUAUGGAGGAUGUAAUCACAACUGCUUUCUUUAGAUUGAAUGGAAUUAUGGAGUGC